UCCCUUUCCUAAGGUAUAAUUUAGGGUUUAAAUGCUGUUUCUAUUGUUUUCCCUAUUUGGUAUAAAAAUGUUUUUGUUGUACUUUAAUUGAAUUUUGUUUUCUGCUUUGGAAUUUCAGUAUGUGGUCAGUAGUUAGCUAAUUUAAGUUUUGUUUAUUGAUUUAGCUUUCAUUAUGCAAAUUUAAAUAAUUAAAUUAGCCAAAUUAAUUUUAUCCUUUUUUUUUGUGUGUGGUGUGCGCUUCAAGUUUUAUAUUAAUUGGCUAUGCUAUGGCUGCUAACUAUUAACAGUUCUCUAAUUGAAGUCAGUUUAUACUAUUUGCAAUUUUAGGUUUAAUAUUUUAUCAGUUACCAUUUAAUUAAAUAGUAUUUCAUGAAAAAUUGAAUUAUAUGUAGGUAGGGUUUUCCUUUAAAUAAUAAGGAUAGGCUUUAACAUAUUUUGGGAUCACUAUCUAAGCCUUGGCUACACAUUCUGAGAUCUAAUAUGAUGUAUAUUCCCUCAAUUAAUUUCAUUUACUCUGUUAGACUCCAUUUAGUUUAUUUUUUUAAUUAGUUCUAGUACUACUUCCCAAAUUUUAAUGAUUAAUGAUAAUAACCAUCUAUUAAUUUGGAAAGUCAUGGGGGGUUUUACCUAUUGAUUUUGUACAUAAUUAGGUUUUGGUAACUACUUACAAUAUUGUCUUUUAAGAAUAAGUUAAACAAAUGAUUUAUACAAAAAGCAGGCUUCCAUCAAGGAGAGAAAAUGAUUUGACAGUCAAUAGAAAAUAAUUAUGUUAAAUAUCACUUUUCAUUUAAAAAAAAAAUUAUACAUUGGGGAAUAAGAUUGAAAAAAAAAAUCAUAUAUUGGGGAAUAAAAUUAUAUUGGCUUUUGAGAAUUUCCCUAUGUCUUUGUUGUUCAAGUAAAAAUUUCAUUUUUAUAUGUAGCUUUUGGUUUGAAACUCCUGAGUUAUACAUUAAAUGAUUUCUGUGUAGUUGAUGGUGGGUUUACUUAAGCAAUUAGCUAAUCAAUUGACUUAUAAUUGAAAAUGGGAGUUAAUUAGACUAACUAUGGUUUUGCUUUUCAUUGACACAUGGGGUUAAUGAUUGAGAAGAAUUGAAACUCUUUUGACGUAACCGUUGUUUUUUAUUUUGGGUUUAGUAUUCAUGAUAAUAUUUUAAGUGAUAUAAAUUGUGCAUUUGGAGUAAAGUAAUGAUGGGAAUCUGUGUUGUGAAUUAGAUAGAUUGUGGCUGGUCUUUUACAGCCAACCGGUGGAGCAUUGUAUGAGAAAAGGCCUAAAAGCUUUGUUUUCCAAAAUCUGGACCAUCAGGAUGCGAGGCAAUGGUUACUAGGGAGGUUUGUUGGGCAGUUCACAGUCAAGGCAGUUAUGUGUGCGGGAAGAGCCCAAUGAUAAACUAGACCAAUCUAUAUAGGGUCAGUCUCAGGUUCCUUCAUCAUCCACUGGGAGGUCGACACUAGAUCCGGAGGGGUCUACUGCUUCAACACAGCAUCGAGCUAUACCUCUACCUCCACUGCCACCAUCGAUUACCCAUCUUCUGAGCCUGCAAUUAGAUCGACCUUUGGUCAUGAAGGUCAUUCAGUUGAGGCAGUACCAAUAUGAUUGAUGGAUAGCCUAUCACUCACUAUAUUUGGAAGAAAGAAAUGAAUAAAGCUCAUUAAUGGCGCGUUACAUCCAUCGGAGGAAUGUGCUAAGAAUAUGAAGAAUAUCUUCAAGGAGAGGAUGGACCUAGAGGGGUACUAUUGGAAAAUUAUCACACCUAAGACAAAAGAGUUUUACUGGGAUGAAUUUCAGAGUUGACUUCACUCGUAAAUAAAGCUUAGAGGCAUAAGGCUGCAGAGUGCUACAAGGCGUUAAUGUGCAAGGUCAGGAAAGGAAAAUCCAAGGUCAUCGUGCCUGACAGUACAAUGCAAAAAUAGAAGGAGGCAUAGAGUAGCCCAGAGUUUAAAACCAAAAGGCAUCAGUUCACUGCUAACCGCUAUAGUGAGAUAAGGGGAGUUAGGGCAGGCAUCUCUAGACACACAGGGGGUUCAGUUUCAAAUGUUACUCACGCAGAUAGAAUGGAAGCCCAGCUUGGCCGAAGACCUUUUCCUUGUGAACUUUUCCAUAAGACCCACACUAGGAAGGGCACCUCCGAUAUGGUUGAUGCACGAGCACAAUCAAUUAAGGAUGCAUUUUUAGUGCUUAAGGAGCAGUUAUCUCAACCACAAAAGGGGUGCAGUGACCCUCCAACUAUAGAUGAGGUCACACUAUAUUAUCAUGUUAGGGGGGGGGGGGGGGGGGAGAGAAUAACAGGGUUUAUGGCAUUGGAUCCCAAGCAUCAAUUUUCUACCCUCGCUCAUCACAUGGAUCAUCUUCUACUGCAUCCUAUCGUGCUCAGUCGGAGGCAAUGGAGGAAGAGAUUCAACAAUUGCAUCAGACUGUUGCAACACUCAAGGAUAGUUUGGCUACAAUGGAGGAGAGAAAUUGACAAUGCGAGCUGAUGCUGGAGGAGAGAUAUCGACAACGUGAGCAGACACUGGAGGUGUGACACCUCUUACCCGUCUACAGUGUAACCAAGCAAGAUAUGCCACACAGUGUGCCGGAGCACUAAAUCAUAUUUCAAUUCAAUUUACCCCUUUUUUUUUUACUCAUUUAUUUAUAAUUUUUGAUUAAUUUGAAUUUUCUGUAAAUUUUAUAGAAAAUCCAGCAAAGUGCCGGCUGUAAAUUGGAAAAACAGUUCUUCUGAAUCUGUUAAAAACACUUCCAAUAUAAUCAUAAUUUCAAUCUCAGCCA